UCAGAAUACGAAUUUCAUGAAAUGUUUCAGAAAUAAAUGCUGAGAAAGAACUGGAAAACAAGAAAAUUGCUUUGAAUGACCUAGAAGAAGCGUUUCAUACUUGGAACAGAGAAAUUGAAAUCGUGGCAGAGAAGAAAGGAGAAGACGUUAGGAAAAUGACCCCAAAGAAACUGAAGGCUGAGAGACAAUCUGAAAAUUAUCUCAGUCACAUGAGGAAUGUGGAAACAUCAUAUCGUACUCUGACUGAAGAAGUUGUGGAAUUAAGGAACGAGAAUGCAGCGCAAGCACAAGAGAUCCGGAAACUGAAAAAAUUAUAGGAGUAGGAAAUCGACAAACAGUUUCAGAGAGACUUAUGAAGUUCAGUCCCUUCAAGAACGAAACAAGGAUCUGGAGGCUGCGGUGUGGCAGUUUGGAGCCAUUUGGAAUGUUGUGAGCAUCAGAAAGUGUCAGCUCUUAAGCUUCCUGUUAUGCAGUAUUCUCAAAUUCCAGAUUUUGCAUUUUGUGGCUGUAACCACAGUGACAAUCUGUGAUAUGCAGGUGUUGAAACGGCGUCAGAUCCAUGCCUUGCUUUUCCCGGAUAAAUGGUCGUCUCGAGCCUGGGUUACGUGGCAAUGUCGCCUUUAAUUUACGUGUCCAGCUUGACCAUGAAGAAUAAUGGGAGUUAAGAGAUGUCUGUUGCAGAAGAAUUUUAGGCUAGAGAGAAACUGGCUGACCAGAGCUAAGGAAUGAGGAGAUAGUGUGGGCCUUAUAAGCCAAACAGGGAUUCAUAGAGGAUGCCAGGAGCCCUACUUAGGUUAUGCGUACUCUCUUUUGUUUUAGGGUGCAGUCAGGUAGGGUUCCUGGUCCAUGCCUACUCAAUUCCUGAGCUCUGGUUGGCCAGUUUCUCUCUCCCCUUCCAAACAACCUUAUUUCAGCCCCGAAGAUGGAGGCAGUGUGUUCCUCUGAAAUGUUGUCUUUCAGCAUUACGGUCGAGAAGACCAACAUUGACAUCUCCCCUGCCUCAUAUGUGAGCGUCCGCUCACAAUGGGGAACUGUCUAAUAAUGAAUAAUGUUCCUGUAGUCAGUAUCAUAUUACAUUUAUUAUAACAGUUUAUUUACACUACAUCUGAGAGUUUGUACAUAUUAUUCAGAUUUUUAGAACAACAUUUGUAUCUUCUAACCAGAAGUAUUAUAAUUAUGUAUAUAUUGAUAAAUUAGAAGUCACUGAAAACAGAAGAAAAAAUAAAUAAAAUUGAGAUUCAUAUUUUAUA